UAAUGAACAAUCUAAUUAAUAGCAUCAGAGGAUAAUCUAAAUCGGUACUUUUUAAACUUGCCAAUUUUAAGAUGUGUGGAUUUCAACUCUCAAAGUUCCUCAGCCAGCCUGCUGAGUCCACUUAUCUUACAGUGGCCAAGUUUGAACACUGAUCGAAGUCAAACUAUACAAAGCACGGCGACCGUACGUUGCCUUUAACUUUCUCUUUUGUUAAGAUAAACAUCUCCAGCUUCCUUAACUAGGCCUUGGUAGGUAUUUUCUGAGUCCGCUCCCGCUUCUCCACGCUUAUACAAUCAGUAAUGCGGUACUCAGACCCGACCUCGUACUCCCAACUGCGCUCUAAUCAUCCUAAAGCAGGAUAAAAUGCAGCUUUCUCGCGAUGCGGAUGUGAAAGCUCUUUUUCUCUUCGGCCUUUUACUCAUCUGUUGCUAAGAGCAACAAAGCCUUUUCCGCUUUUAGCCAAUAUGGCAGCGCCCUGGCUGAGUUCGGCGCGCCAACUCUCUAUCGUUCCCAUGACAGGCAAGGAAUUCCGUUGACGGCAGUCGGGUAGGAAAAGGAGAGCGCUGCGAGACACGGGCGUUCACGAAGUCUGCGGUGAACGACUCCCGGGAAGGUCUCCAAGGCUGAGCCCGGUGCCCGGAGGGAAAAGAAAGAAUUUCCUGAUUUGUAAUCAGAAAUUUAUACCUUAAUUGUCACCUUCAAAAUGUCUGAAUCAAAGUUUCGUGAGGUUUUGCCCAAGCAAGGGAUGUUAGCAGUAGAAGAUGUAACUACCAUGGUGAUGUGCAAGCCUAAAUUGCUGCCAUUAAAAUCUGUUACUUUGGAAAAACUUGAGAAAAUGCAACGCGAAGCACAGGAAAUUAUUCAACAACAGGAACAAGCUGCACAGCAGUGUUCAACAUCUGCUCUUGAUCAAUAAAAAAUCUAUAUGAUUUUCCUACUGGGUCUAUAUUAGUGUAUGUAGCAAUACAAUGACUUAUGGACAACAAGAUGAAAUAUUUUUAUCAAAUGCAUUUUAGAUAAAUGUUUACAUGUGUUAUAAUUUGUAAAUAUCUGGAAAACUAUCAAAGUUAUAUUCAGCUUCUUGCUUUACAGGCUGCAUAUCUUGUUAUAACAUUAGUGGAAUUUCUGAAUAAACAGUUUUGCUACCAAGGUUUCAUACAUGCUGAGCCAUUGAUUUUGACUUUAUGUGUUACAUGAAUACAGCUUUUAAAUCAUGACUCAGUGUAAACCAGAUUUAGAAAGUUCAAGAGUAAUGAUUGUUAUUAGAGGCCUUAUGAUGUAUUUAAUAUUCAUCUGGAAUAUUGUCCUCACAAGACAUAAAUUAUGAAGUGGGGAAAAACACUACUCUUUGAGCAUAAAGAGAGUAAGAGGAUGCUUUAGAAAGACUAAUCAGUCCCCACUUACAAUUAUUGUAAUUAAGUUAGCUAGUAGGCUUUCAGCAUUCAGGUCUGAAUAUAGCAAAGGUAUUUCUAAAA